rnacentral:tRNA from 1 species
GGGAUUAUAGCUCAGUGGAAGAGCUCUUGCUUAGCAUGCAUGAGGCCCUGGGUUCCAUACCCAAUACUGCAA